GGCCAUCUGGUGAACGAUAACGUCGAAUUUGUGGCUUGGAAGUCGAACAGUCACUGUUGCUAUAGUGAUUGUCGAAAAACAAAGAAGAAGAAAAAAUGGCUGAAGCUCCUGGGGGAGGAAGGAGGAGAGAAAAAUAAAAAGAGUUCGGGUACUGUAAUGUGUACUGUAGCAAUAAGAAAUUUAAAAAUUCUCAUUAUGUCCUUUUCGUUUUUAGACCUUUUCUCCUUCGUUACAAUUCGG
rnacentral:lncRNA from 1 species